GAUAAACGCUGGCGGCGCACAUAAGACAUGCAAGUCGAACGGACUUAAUCGAAAUAUUUAUAUUUUGAAGCGGUUAGUGGCGGACUGGUGAGUAACGCGUAAGGAACCUACCUAUUAGAGGGGAAUAACAGUGAGAAAUCAUUGCUAAUACCGCAUAUGCCAUAGAUAUCACAUGAUAACAGUGGGAAAGGAGCAAUCCGCUAAUAGAUGGCCUUGCGUCUGAUUAGAUAGUUGGUGGGGUAACAGCCUACCAAGUCGACGAUCAGUAGCCGGACUGAGAGGUUGAACGGCCACACUGGAACUGAGACAUGGUCCAG
rnacentral:rRNA from 1 species